AUGUCGCAAUUUUGGUGGGGUGACGAGGACAACCCGAAGAAAAUGCAUUGGAUGGUGUGGUGGAAGAUCUGCGUCCCAAAAGACCAAGGAGGUAUGGGGUUCCGAGAUAUCCACUGUUAUAAUCUGGCAUUGUUAGCCAAACAAGCACAACGUCUACUUGAUAAUCCCGAGUCUUUAUGUGCUACGAUCUUGAGAGCUAAAUAUUUUUCGGACGGCGAUUUAAUGAAUGCAAAUCUAAAAAAGAGCUCCUCUUUUACUUAGCAAAGUAUCAUGACUGGAGUGAAUUGUCUGAAAAGUGGUUAUAUCUGGUGA
rnacentral:rRNA from 1 species